AACGAACGCUGGCGGCAUGCCUAACACAUGCAAGUCGAACGAGACCUUCGGGUCUAGUGGCGCCCGGGUGCGUAACGCGUGGGAACCUGCCCUUAGGUUCGGAAUAACUCCCCGAAAGGGGUGCUAAUACCGGAUAAUGUCUUCGGACCAAAGAUUUAUCGCCUUUGGAUGGGCCCGCGUUGGAUUAGCUAGUUGGUAGGGUAAAAGCCUACCAAGGCGACGAUCCAUAGCUGGUCUGAGAGGAUGAUCAGCCACACUGGGACUGAGACACGGCCCAGACUCCUACGGGAGGCAGCAGUGGGGAAUAUUGGACAAUGGGCGAAAGCCUGAUCCAGCAAUGCCGCGUGAGUGAUGAAGGCCUUAGGGUUGUAAAGCUCUUUUAACCGGGAUGAUAAUGACAGUACCGGGAGAAUAAGCGCCGGCUAACUCCGUG
rnacentral:rRNA from 1 species